AGUGAACGCUGGCGGUAGGCCUAACACAUGCAAGUCGAACGGCAGCACAGUAAGAGCUUGCUCUUACGGGUGGCGAGUGGCGGACGGGUGAGGAAUACAUCGGAAUCUACUUUUUCGUGGGGGAUAACGUAGGGAAACUUACGCUAAUACCGCAUACGACCUACGGGUGAAAGCAGGGGAUCUUCGGACCUUGCGCGAUUGAAUGAGCCGAUGUCGGAUUAGCUAGUUGGCGGGGUAAAGGCCCACCAAGGCGACGAUCCGUAGCCGUCUGAGAGGAUGAUCAGCCACACUGGAACUGAGACACGGUCCAGACUCCUACGGGAGGCAGCAGUGGGGAAUAUUGGACAAUGGGCGCAAGCCUGAUCCAGCCAUACCGCGUGGGUGAAGAAGGCCUUCGGGUUGUAAAGCCCUUUUGUUGGGAAAGAAAAGCAGCAGGUUAAUACCCCGCUGUUCUGACGGUACCCAAAGAAUAAGCACCGGCUAACUUCGUG
rnacentral:rRNA from 1 species